ensembl:miRNA
AAAAGUUUGUUUGGGUUUUUCUGUAACAUCCUGUAGAAACACCCAAAUGAACUUUUUGA